rnacentral:rRNA from 1 species
GACGAAGGGGGCUAGCGUUGUUCGGAAUUACUGGGCGUAAAGCGCGUGUAGGCGGUUGUUCAAGUCAGGUGUGAAAGCCUUGAGCUCAACUCAAGAAAUGCACUUGAUACUGGAUGACUAGAGGACCGGAGAGGAUAGUGGAAUUCCCAGUGUAGUGGUGAAAUACGUAGAGAUUGGGAAGAACACCAGUGGCGAAAGGCGGCUG